rnacentral:rRNA from 1 species
UACGGAGGGUGCAAGCGUUAUCCGGAUUCACUGAGUUUAAAGGGUGCGUAGGCGGGCAGGUAAGUCAGUGGUGAAAUCUCCGAGCUUAACUCGGAAACUGCCAUUGAUACUAUUUGUCUUGAAUAUUGUGGAGGUAAGCGGAAUAUGUCAUGUAGCGGUGAAAUGCUUAGAUAUGACAUAGAACACCAAUUGCGAAGGCAGCUUACUACACAAUGAUUGACGCUGAGGCACGAAAGCGUGGGGAUCAAACAGG